UUAUCUUGCCAAAUAGUUGGGGCUGGGAGCAGCGAUCCAAGCUGACCUAAGGGAAGUCUUACUCUUAGAGCAGCCUGUGUUAUGGCUGGCUCAUGACAGAUGUGUCAGCCUUUUCGCAUCAAUGGCCAAGCUCAUUUCUCCUCUCAAUGAGAUAUUCUUUCAGUUUAACUAUAGCUCUUACAGUUCCUUUUUUUUUCCCUCCCAAUAUUAUUUCCUUUAAGAUUCAUCUUGAUGUUGAUUUAAUUGUUAACUUGCACACAGGAAUCAUGGAUAUUAGAGAAACACUUAUGCCUGAUUUCAAAUGGAAGCACUUUGUCGACAGAUUUUGGUCUCGGGUCUCUUGCCAAAACAAGGUGGUGAUACAAACACUUUCUGAAUGUACAAAUGAAAUGUUUUUUUUUUUUUCAGAAUAUAUUAAAGCAUGUGGUCUUUGCUUAUUUGACUGCUCAACAUAGAGCAUGACCCAGGUACACUAUAAUAAGAAUGGAAGAAGUUUGAAACUACUCUGAUCCCUUUCCCUUAUUUACUUAAUCUCCUUUAUCUUUAAUUCUUUAUUGUAGAGCAUGGACCUAUACAGAUUACAGAGAGCCAAAACUAUGUAGCAGAGCUGCCUGAGAAGCAAUUUGAUAAGAAAUGUUGAAAACUCGAUCUCACAAGACUGAAUAUUUGUGGGAACAGUAUGAUCAGAAAAAUGGCAAUGGAAAAGGUGCACAAUUUACUGGCUGGAAGCUCUAGUGCUUUUGAAUUUUGAUCAUGUCUGAAACUGAUGACACAUAUUUUUCAAGGCAGUGCUGAGGUCUACCUUUACAUAUAGAAUUACAUUAAGUCUGAAAUCAAUAUUGAGUAGAUGACCUCUACUGCAAGGCCCUUUUAUCUUCUCUUUCUCCUUUUUCCUUUUAUUCAAGAGAUGCUAAUAUACAAUUAUUCUUGUAACAUCAGAUAGCUAUUAUUCAUAUUGUGCUUGAGAAA